CUAAUUUCAAGAAUUUGAAAGAGAGUUGUUAUGUCAAUUUUUUAUCAGUACAGAUUACUUCACAACUUUUGCUUCGUUGUUGAAGUGUUAUGUAAAGAGAAUACUUAUAUUCUUUCAGCUUAUAUAUAUAAUUGCUAUUACUUGUUGGGCACUCAAAUGCUCAUCCUUGCUUAAAUUAAAUGUUUUCAGUUAUGUAUGAGCAACCUGAAGGCUCAGGCACGAACAAAGGAAAAGGAAAGCUGAUCGAAUAAGUGUGUAUUAUGAGUUAAUGGUUAUAGUUGUAUUGGUAUCUAUUCAAGUAUUGUAAGGAAUGUAUUUGAAGGUCUCGUACCUGGGAAGUAAACUUUGAU
rnacentral:lncRNA from 1 species